UACGGAGGAUGCAAGCGUUAUCCGGAAUGAUUGGGCGUAAAGCGUCCGCAGGUGGCUGUGUAAGUCUGCUGUUAAAGAGUGAGGCUCAACCUCAUAAAAGCAGUGGAAACUACAAGGCUAGAGUACGUUCGGGGCAGAGGGAAUUCCUGGUGUAGCGGUGAAAUGCGUAGAGAUCAGGAAGAACACCGGUGGCGAAAGCGCUCUGCUAGGCCGUAACUGACACUGAGGGACGAAAGCUAGGGGAGCGAAUGGG
rnacentral:rRNA from 1 species